GGCAAGUCAGCCUGUUUAAUUCCCUGCAUUUCUCGUUAGAAAUCCGCACGAUCUAGUUGCAUGUUAAUAAUAAAAUGUCUUGUGUUUUUAUAGACUCGAUAGCCAACGAUUACUUACGGUGAACGGGGAAGCACGAUUACGUCGGGCAGCCUUUGCGAGAUCACCGACACCCGUUGGACGAGCUUUUCGGAAACUGAGAGAACGAUCGGAACGAUCACGACCGUCACGGAAUGCACUGAGAUCGAUCGGCGAUGACACGCGCGACGCGUCGAAUUCGAUAUCGCGUCCGAUGGAGAUCGCGGGAUGCCGCGGGAUCGGCCCGGCUAGAACAACUAAAAAAUGAGAGCUCGAAAUAAAGUUGACAGCGACGUAAACAUUGACGAAAUGCAGGAGCCGCGUGGUUCACUUCGCGUUUUAUCCGAAGCCGCGUAUCACCGCGAACGAUCGGCGAACGAAACGAAAGCGCGACUGUUGGGCACGCUGACCAGCUAGAGCCGAUGAUCGUUCUUACUCUGCCGGCGGGCCUGUUGUAGACUGAGAAACCAUUACCAUGGCCCAAUAUUACCCUGGUAGACGCCUCAUCGUCGCCCGAUGCAGGAUAGUAAUCGUUUCUUCUAGCCCAGCUUUUUACCCCUCCCCCCACCCGAUCCUACGGGCUCUUGUUACGCUACCACACCUGCCGGGGCACAGUGAAGCAACGGCUUUGCGAGAAACAGCCGUGGUACUUUAAUGCAAAUUAUGUAAGAACCGCGAUGCUGCGUUACUCCGCUUUGUCCUCUGCGUAUGCGCGACCUUUACCGAUCUACGAUCCACUUGAUCGAACGCGCGGACGCCUCUCGAGACGCGACAACUUCGCGCGGAAAUCUGACCGAAUGAUUUUUCUCUCUGUUAACAAUCGGGCGAAGAACGUCGCGAGCGGACGAAUCGAAUAAAAAUGUUGAAAGAUGUCUUUUGACCGAUUUGGUGACGAUCGAAUCGAAUACAAAUUUUGCACGCUGUUUCUUGCGCCCUUUUGGCAAUGAUAAUCUCGACUGAGAAUUUUGCAAGCUGUUCUUUCUACUCUCUGGUGACAAUAAUCUCGAAUAAAAAUGUUGUCCGGUGUUUUGCGACUCCUCCGGCAAAAAACAGCGUCGAAUACAUCUGUCGAACGCCGUCUCUUUAGAUCGUUCCGAUGAAAAUAGUAUCAAGGAUCCGUGCGAGUGUCCGUCGAGAAAGGUGUUCGUGACCGAACGAAACUUGGGCAACUACCGAACGCUGGCUCGGCUGUUCGCAAUCCUUCGUGAUCUAGGAAAAAAAAGAUAUCCUGCAAAAGCGUUCACGAAACGUGUUCGACAAGCAUGCUAAUUCGACGAUCCUUUCGCGGAAUGUGUUCGACAGCAGUGCCGUUUAAAAAGGGGGACAUCGACCUUACACCAUUUCUACCUUCGACGGCUCGUUUUACGAAAGAUCGAACGGGACUCGACAUUUUUUUAGAAAUUUGACACGUAAAGUCCAGUGUUUCGCUGAGUCAGUGGACUGGCAGGUUUUUUGUCCGGUGGGGGAUUUAUUUCAAAACGUUCCGGUGUAAUCGGAGCAGCAGCGGCGGCGGCGACAACCGGAAGAAUUUCAUUCAUAGCAAAUGAGGAUUGUCUAUAAAUAACGGACGAAAGUCUUCAUUAUGCAUUAUGCUUCCGAAUUCGAUUAAAUAUUCGUACGGGAGCCGUAGGUAGGGACCGGAAACUAGAAAUAUUAUUUAUAAUUUUACGUGUUGUAAAAUUUUAGUAUCCGAGUCUAACAAUCCGGGAAAACCAUGAGAUGCAGUCUAAAUGCUCUUAGAGAAAUAGAAAAGAGGCGCGGAGAGACCGCUUUUAUUUAAUCAAACUUGCGAGAGUUUAGUUUUAAGGACACAGCAAUUGGUACGUCUACCGUAGACGGCGCCGUUCGUAACCAUGAAAAUCCGAGUUGAAGUCUCUCCCGUGAAAAUGUUUUGUUCUUUUGCCUGGACGUAAUCGAGUGGUCGAGGCAAGUCGACCUCUAUUCGGUGACGCAAUUUGUACUUUCUUGCCAGGUCUGUCGAGGAAAUGUUAAAUCUACUUGAUACUAUCCGUGCCCGGCGGAAGGAGAAUUACCCGGCGUUGUCUGACCAGCGAUGUCUUGCGGAACAAGUUUAAUAUGUAUGAGUUCAAUCCGAAAAAUUCGUCCGAUUAAGUUGUCGGUCACGCCACUGAAACGUUUAUUUAGGCAUGUUUAUUAAGUUACUUUUUAUGCUACUUCUUCUAGACAAUCGCACUUGCCACCGGAAAUGAACUGUUAUCGAUUUAACGCUAGAUUUGCAGACAU